UGACUAGCUCUCCACAAGGAAAGGGAAUUCUAUAGAAGACUGAGCCCAUUUUUUUUUUCCCAAUCAAAAGAAGUAACGUGCACAACCGGGAUAGAAAUGCAGAUCACAACCUAAUCAAUGCAAUGAGUGUCACCCCAGCAUGCUUCACUUCAGACUGUGUCCAAAGACUUCAGGUGUGGAAUGACAACCCUUCAGCUUCAUUACUCAGCCACCAGGUUCUGGAUGCCAGCAUGAUACCGACCAGACUUCCCUGGACUGAUGACCCCACCAAUGUGUCCUGGAGCUCCGCUUCCCCAGAGACCUACCGCACUAGGGAAAGAGAGAGGCAGGCUGGGAGUAUGGAUCGACCUGUCAAUGCCCAUAUUCAGUGGGGAAGCAAUUACAGA